AUUCUGUGCGACAUUACAAUAUGGCUGCGCUCAUGAGAGAAUGUACGUCUACAUUUCAUUAGGUCUACAGUUACCAAUAUCAAUUUAACAGUCUACGUCAACUGUGUGAUAAUGUGAGUGCAAUGAUAAUUUGGUGUAAAUUCUAUACUAUAGACUAUAGCCUCACAUGUACAAAUACCGAAACUGUAACAUAGGCUAGUAACUUGUUUUGAAACUUUUUAUGGUGAACCACAGGAGUCGCUUAUCAUUGGGCGGACUUCAUUUGUCCAAGAUUGGCGUACGCCGAAAUGCGUCGGUCAUAUGACCGGCGUAAAACGGCGAAUUGGCAAAUGAAGUAAACCGGCGUGAAACAAACAUGGAUGAACAUGUUGUUGUUACAAUGAAAUACAGAUUUUUUCGUAGUUUCUUACAAUUUCUUUUUAACUGCCAGCAUGAUAAGUAAUGUAUUGUGCAACCUCGGUAUACUUCGCAUAUGAGCAAAGUUGUGCAGGAAUUAAACGUUAUAUCAAAGCUACGAAUGAACAUUUAUUUAAUCAAUGCAUUCAAGCAAUGAACAUGCUGAUCUAUUAAUAAAUAUAUCUACAUUUUUUUUAUCUCAUAACAUCAUCUUACCGUGAGCUUUCUGCCCUUUUUGAAAAAUCAGCGAAUUCCACGCCGGUCUUUCUAAACCGGCAAGAUUGGCGUACGCCGGCAAACCUUUCCCGGACAAAUGAAGCAACAAGCCGGGUAACCAAAGGUCAAGCGGCGCAUUCGGCAUACGCCGAUUUGACAAAUGAAGUCCUACCAUUGAUAAGAGAGAAAAAAGCUUAUUGUUUAAAGAUUAAUGCAAUGGAUCUGUUGAAAAGCAACUAUGAAGAAAUUCAAAGUGAAACAGACAAUGAAGAUACUGGAGAAGAGAGUGAUGAUGGAAUUUCUAAAGACAGAAGCACUAAGAACAAGAUUGUGUCCAACAGUGCUGAACAGUCAGGUGGUGCAGAUUUCUUUGGUUUGAAUGAAACUUCUGAUGAGGAAAUUGAAGAGCCCCCAUCAAAGAAAAAAAUGCAAUACUUGAUAAAGUUAAAGGAUUCAAUGAGUGAAGUGGAAGUCCCUGACAGUGAGUUCUGGAGAGAUUUCACUCCUCGACAAAAUCUGGAUGGUCAUGAGGUCGUAGAUAAAAGGAAUGAACAGAAUACACGGCAGGGUCGGAAACAGGGAAGGCACAGUAAUAAACAUCAGACAGUUCCUAAUAAUUCAUGCUCUUAUAAAGCAGACAGCGGGUACAGUAAGAAUAGAAAAGGAAAUGAACAUGAUUUCAGCUGUAAACCUUCAAGUGAAUCUUUCAACAGAUCUGACCAGUCACAACAGAGCACAAGCUCUAGCAGCGAAUCACAAACACAGCGACAGCUCUUCUACAUACAUUCAAAGAUAGCACCACAUAUGACCAAAUGCAACACCCACAAUAGGUAUCCAUAUCGGGUGGAGAGAGAACUCGAUGGUCAUACACAGACGGUGAACAGAGUGAUGUGGAAUAAGUCGCCUUACUGUCACCUGUUUCUGUCAGCCUGUAUGGAUGGAACUGUUAGGAUCUGGAACAUCUGGACUCAGCUUUCACCCUGUGUUAAGCUGCUCAGUAUCCACAGAAGAGCUGUAAAAGAUGCUGUUUGGAGUCAUGAUGGAAGACAUAUUUUCAGUUGUAGUUAUGACAAGACUGCAAAGUGGAUAGAUAUAGAAAAAGGUACAGCAGUAUCCACCUUUAAACACCCCUCAUAUGUAACAAGCUGUAAAGUUCACCCAAAUGACCCCAAUCUCAGCAUUACUGGAUCUUGGAACAGUAUUUACUGCUGGGACACCAGGGUCAGCCUUUCUCCCUGUAAAACAUACACUCACAAGGAUUCCUAUGGUCAGGUUCAGGAUCUUCUAUUCAACAGAGAUGGAGACACAUUUUUCUCUGCAGGAGAUGAGAUCAGCCAAGACUCUGCUGACAGAAACAUCAUGGCUUGGGAUUUCAAGACCACUAGUGUGUUAUCCAACCAGAUAUAUCAAGAGAGGUAUAGUUGCACCCGACUGAAGCUACAUCCUACUUCUAGCCAUUUUCUGGCACAGUCACAUGGAAACUACAUUGCCAUAUUUUCUGCCAACAGGCCAUAUAAGAUGAACAAAGCAAAACGUUUAGAGGGUCACAAGCUGUCAGGCUAUUCAGUUGGAUUUGACAUUUCUCCGGAUGGAUCUGUAGUUCUAAGUGGUGACAGUAAUGGACAGAUGUUGUGCUAUGAUUAUCAGACAGGGAAGAUCAUCAACAAGAUCCAGACUGGUCUGGAUGUAGCCAUGGAUGUUAACUUCAAUCCACUCCUGCCUUCCACUGCAGUCGUAUGUGGAUGGAAUGGAAAAAUCCAAGUCCUGAAUUAGAAUUCAGUCAGAUGGAAGGUUUUACACCAAAACCUAGACACCAUCACCACAUGAAACACAGUUUUGAAGGAACAAGACAAUCUGAUCAUGACUGCUGCAUACGCUUGUAUCACAGUAUUCUGUGUCAGAAGAGACUACACACUACCUGCUGUCAGAAAAUGAAGAGUCAAGAGAUUGCUGGUCUUGGCCACAUUGUCUGCAAAAAAAGUUAAAUCCAUGACAGGGAACCGAAUUAAGUAAAACAGGUCACCCAGGGCUACUCUCUGGUUCUCUUCAGUGCUUUCUACUCCUCGAUGGUUGCAUUCUUUCUUGGCCCAAUUUGACAUGCACUCCAGGAUGUGAUCUUCAUCCAAUGGGAGAUCAUCUCUUUCAAUUAUCUUUUUCACACAGGAUCUGCAUAGCUGUGUAAAGGACUCUGACUUGAUACAUUCAAAGGCGUGUUUAACAAUGUAGUCUAGGCACGUGUUGAAAAGUUCAUCUUCAUCAAAGAUGUGUGCGUUUUCCGCAAUGAUACAUACGUUAUCUGGACUGAUGUUCUUCUCUAGAAAAGACCUGCAUUUUAAGGUGACUUUAGAGAGUCCAUACUUGCGAGCAGCAUACAGGAUGUGUGUGACAUUGUCUUCAUUGAUUGUUAUUUCUUCACAGUACAUGUACCUAUCAAAUGUGAAGAUACAUUUCUGUAAAUAAUCAUUAUUGAGGAACAAUAUAGUCCUAAAAAUACUUCUCAUAGGCAUCUUGUUGUGCAAAAUCCGAAUAUUUAUUUGCAUACUAUGAUAGUAAAGAUGGAUAUUUUAAAAAUUCCUUAAGGGAAUGAAGUUAAAGAUAAGACCCCAUUUAAAAUAUCUAUGUCUUUUUCCGACCUAUUAAAAAUUUUAAUAAGUAAAUUAAGCAAACUUUUUUUCUCUCUCUCUUGAAAUUACCUCUAACACCCACAAAAUUCAGGAUAAAAAUCAGAAAAUCAUCAUUAAGUCUAUUUUAAUUUUUUUUUUAAAUCUUAAUUUUAUUUGGUUUUGCCCAGAAACCUGUGCAUUUACACUUAACAAUGGUAUUGUUUAUAAUAUUAUUGUUAUUAUUAAAAUAAAUCUUUGGAAUAAA